rnacentral:rRNA from 1 species
UACAGAGGGUGCAAGCGUUAAUCGGAAUUACUGGGCGUAAAGCGUGCGUAGACGGUUAUUUAAGUCGGGUGUGAAAGCCCCGGGCUCAACCUGGGAAUUGCAUUCGAGACUGAAUAGCUAGGGUGCGGAAGAGGGAAGCGGAAUUUCCGGUGUAGCGGUGAAAUGCGUAGAUAUCUGGAGGAACACCGGUGGCGAAGGCGGCAUCCUGGACCGAUACUGACGCUGAGGAGCGAAAGCCAGGGGAGCAAACGGG